CUCCCCCAGCUCCAUCUCCAUCCACCCAUCCUCCCUUCUACUCAUAACCCUAUCAUCUCCUUUAACAACCCUCGAUUUCAUCAUCUGUUUCCUGUUUGAAUAGAACAGGUUCUCCAAUCGCUGUUUCUUGUCGUCUUGGCAUCGCAGCAAUCAGAACAGGGUUGCAGAGGAGGUGAUAAAGCUGUUUCUUUGAAGCAAACAAAAAAGUUGUAUUACAAGCCUUGGACACAAUUUCAUGGUAAUCAGAUGGCAAGAACUUGUCCCAAACCAAAUCAGAAUCCGCCGCCGAUCCGACAACAGUCGAAACCGACGAUGAUUUACAAGCAUCUGAAGGAGACGUGAGGGACAAAAUCACUGCAACACAGCUCUCUGGCAAUACGUUCAUGCCUGAAACUGAAACUUCUAUUUUUGGUUUUCUUAAUGGUGUUGAAAACAAUGAAAGAACAAAUAUAACCGAAAGAGGAAAAGAACUGUAUGAUGAUCCAAAGGAGAUUAUUGUGGGUCGUUUUCCCAGUGGGUAAUUUGCUGCUGGUAUAUGUGUGUAGAUUCCAGCGAAAUCAGUGAAACAGACGGGUAAAUAAAACAAAGCAAGGGGCUGUCUUGAUUAAAAUUCAGGGAUUCAUACUUUUCGUGUGUGCAUUUCAUGACUUGAAUACAUUCAAGUCAACAAAGGCCAAAGCAUAGCUUGCCCUUAUUUGAGGGAAUUAAUUUAAUAAUUGUUUAAUAAAUCAACUUCCAGAAUUUUCAA